rnacentral:piRNA from 1 species
UUGCUGUCAAGGAUGAGGUGCGUGCGU